rnacentral:lncRNA from 1 species
GGGAAAACCAUGAAAUUUGUUUGCUUAUAAGUUGAAAUUUUCAAGUAGAAGGCUAAAAAGGGGAGGAGCAAAUUGAAUAGGUAGAAUCGGUGUUGGGAACCUUGGUGAGUUUUCCUUGAACUUUUAUUUGAUAAUUGUUGAAACUGUCAAAUUGCUGUCCGAAUUUUACCUUGUUGGUAUUGUUAAUUGCUGCCCUGUUUAUGCUGUCUAAAUAUUGUAUUAUUGAUGCUGUCCGAAUCAGCCUCCGAAUGUGAUAUGUUACAGCAAUUAAGCCAAGUGUUGCGAGUCCUCUUAGGCUGCCCACAACGCAACCUUUCAAUACUAAUGUUACCAUGAAUUUACCUUCGAUUGAUGGUGUGGUGUAUAUACAUUUUAGAAAGAAAGAUGUUGUUGUUUAGUUGAAUUUUCAUUUGAUAAAUGUUCAUUCGGUCAAAUGGGAGAAGAAUGAGAUGAAUUUAAAUGUUUUGGUUUAUUAUUUUAGUUGCUAAAUGAAGAAAAAUCGGUUAACAAGGGAGUACUAAGGCCGAAUAUGAUUUUGAAUAUUAGUGGUGUAGUUGCCGAAUUUGAACUAUGAAGUUAUUGAGUAAUGUGUGUGUUUUAAGUGAUAGAAUUCAGUGAAUGCUUGGAAUGUGAUAUGUAUGAAUUAUGUGUUAAAUUAAGGUUUGCUAAGCUAGCUAUUAAGAUGAAGUGAAAAUGUUAGUAAUUGAUUGCUAGUGUAUAUAUGUGUACUAGCCGAGCUUUGAAUUUAAAUAAUGGUUGGAGCACCGUGUGUUGUAAUGAGAUUAUUUGAGUGAAAUCAUAGAUAUUUAUAUGAUGAAUUCAAUUGUGGAUAUACAUGCUUAAAUAAGAUGCAUACAUGAAUGAAUAGAUAGCUUGGUGCUGUAUGUAUUCGGUCAUAAAGGUGCACAUGAGGAAAUGUUAGAUUAAUUGUAUUAAAUUGCUAAAUGUGAUUAAAAAUGCGUAUGACCAUUUUGUGUUUGAGCUAUAGGUGGCCAUAUGACCUAUCAAACUCCUUGUCAUAUUCGGCCAUAAGCUAGCAUAAUGAGACUUUAAUAAGUUAAAUUUGUUUGAAUUAGCUCAAGAGCUUAGAGGACCAAAGUUGGAUAAGGGAAGGGAAAAAGUGAUCGAAUAGCCGCCGAAAUUGUUCGACCACAUCCGAGGUAAGUUUUAAGUGACUAAAUGUUGAGUAAAUUCAACUAUAAUAGGAUAUAAUGAGUUGAUUUAAUAAGAUAUGAUGUGGCCAUGAUAUGUCUUAAACUCAAAUGGUAAGUUCCUAAGUGUUUGGACUUGGAAAUUUAAGAGCAAAUUGUAAUAAUUUGCUUAGGACAGCCGCAGUAAUGUGAUUUUAGAAAAUCACUAUAAAUGUUUGGUGUGGAAUUAUAGGCUGAAUAAAAUAUACAAUCAAAGCUUAAUUAGUCUAGUUUCUUAUAAAAGAGACCGUGUAAGCAAAGGAAUUUCCUAUAAAGAGAUAUUUAAAGUUGUGUGAGACGGUGUCAGAAUGACUCCGAAAUCCCCUGUUCUGUUUUAAGAAAAUCAC